GAUGAACGCUGGCGGCGUGCCUAAUACAUGCAAGUAGAACGCUGAAGGAAGGAGCUUGCUCUUUCCGGAUGAGUUGCGAACGGGUGAGUAACGCGUAGGUAACCUGCCUGGUAGCGGGGGAUAACUAUUGGAAACGAUAGCUAAUACCGCAUAACAGUAGAUGUUGCAUGAUAUCUACUUAAAAGGUGCAAUUGCACCACUACCAGAUGGACCUGCGUUGUAUUAGUUAGUUGGUGAGGUAACGGCUCACCAAGGCGACGAUACAUAGCCGACCUGAGUGGGAGGACGGGCACACUGGGACUUGGACACGGCCCAGGCUCCUUCGGGAAGCAGCAGGAGGGAAACUUCGGCAAUGGACGGAAGUCUGACCGAAGAACGCCGCGGGAGUGAAGAAGGGUGUCGGAUCGUAAAGCUCUGUUGUAAGGGAAGAACGAGUGUGAGAGUGGAAAGUUCACACUGUGACGGUAUCUAACCAGAAAGGAACGGCUAACUACGUG
rnacentral:rRNA from 1 species